rnacentral:rRNA from 1 species
AUACGGAGGGUGCAAGCGUUACUCGGAAUCACUGGGCGUAAAGCGCGCGCAGGCGGGCUGAUAAGUUGGAUGUGAAAGCCUACGGCUCAACCGUAGAACUGCAUCCAAAACUGUCAGUCUAGAGUGUGUGAGAGGAAGAUGGAAUUAGUUGUGUAGGGGUAAAAUCCGUAGAGAUAACUAGGAAUACCAAAAGCGAAGGCAAUCUUCUGGAACACUACUGACGCUGAGGCGCGAAGGCGUGGGGAGCAAACAGAAGUAGAAACCCUAGUAGUCC